ACAGUAGGCCGGUUUGCCGCUCUUCCUCCGGGAAGGGAGGAAAGUCCGGGCAGCACAGAGCGUCCCAUUACCUAACGGGUAGCUAUUCGUGAGAGUAGAGGCCGGUAGAAGAAAAUAACCGCUCCAUCCGUGGAGUAAGGGUGAGAAGGUGAGGUAAGAGCUCACCGGAUCCGGUAGCAAUUCCGGAUGCCGUACCGCUUGGGAGCUGCAAGGUCAUGUACACCGGCGCACGUAGGACUGCUCGUCCGAUGCCGGGGGGUAGACUGCUGGAGCCUGACGGAGACGUCAGGUCGAGAUAAAUGGCAAACACCUGCGUAUGCAGGAACAGAACCCGGCUUAUAGGCCUACUGUUUUU
rnacentral:RNase_P_RNA from 1 species